GGAGACUUAAUGAUAGAGUUGUAUAACUAUAAAAAAGUUUGUGAAACAAUGUAUAGUAAACCAAAAAGGAAAACGGCUCAGGUGUUAGUUGUAGGCGGGGCCUCAGACGACAGCUUGGUCCACUAAUCGCAAAAGCAAUUAAUUUUAUUUUCUUAAACAAACAAACAAUUUGGUAAAUAUAUAACAUAAAAAUAUGAAUUGGUUUUAAAAAUUGAGGAUGUUUUAUUCUUAAUAACGUCACUGGCACGCGGGAAGUAUCCUGUUUGAGGCCUACUCGAUUAUUUAGUUUAUUAUUUAGUAGCAUUUAGGCACAAAGACACAAUUUUCUAUGAUAGUCGGAUAAAUGUUGAAGUAAGAAGAUGAAAAUACCAAAAAAUGACGCUUUCUUCAGUUUCACUGUGGAAAGACCGCGGAGUAAGAGAUACCGGUAUGGAGGUUGACAGGAGCACUGGCUUUCUGGUGCAGGAACACAGUCCCAUGGUAAAUCAGGUUUCUCUGCGGAUCGCCCUUCAUGUAAUGAAAGCUUCAUGUGAGGGAGCUUGGGCCCCGAGCGCCCUCUCCCUCGCUCAUUCUGCCAUAAUCUCUUCCUCUCCCACUCAGGUCAUGUCCAUGAGCUGGAGUGGAUAACCCGAAGCGCCCAAACCGGCCCACUAACACUCAAAUCUAUGUUUAAAGAUGCUGUCAGGUUUAAGAUGGAAAGGAAUCGCAUGGAAAAGUUGCUACCAAGUAAUUUCAGUGCAAGAAACAUUGUUUUGAAUCACCUGUGAUGAUGUGAUAAUGUGAAGGAAUAUCUGUAUUGUAUAAUAGGCUACCACUCAAAAGUUUGGAGUUAGUAAGGUUUUUUUUUUUUUUUUAAUAAAUGUUUUUGAAAUAAGUCUUUUAUGCA
ensembl:lncRNA